UACGUAGGGUGCAAGCGUUGUCCGGAAUUAUUGGGCGUAAAGGGCGCGUAGGCGGCCACGCACGUCCGUUGUGAAAUCGCCCGGCUCAACUGGGCGGGGUCAGCGGAUACGGUGUGGCUCGAGCAAGCUAGGGGGCAAUGGAACUCCCGGUGUAGUGGUGGAAUGCGUAGAUAUCGGGAAGAACACCAGUGGCGAAGGCGGUUGCCUGGAGCUUUGCUGACGCUGAUGCGCGAAAGCGUGGGGAGCGAUCCGG
rnacentral:rRNA from 1 species